rnacentral:rRNA from 1 species
AUACGGAGGGUCCAAGCGUUAUCCGGAAUCAUUGGGUUUAAAGGGUCCGUAGGCGGGCAAUUAAGUCAGAGGUGAAAUCCCACAGCUCAACUGUGGAACUGCCUUUGAUACUGGUUGUCUUGAAUUAUAGUGAAGUAGAUAGAAUAUGUAGUGUAGCGGUGAAAUGCUUAGAUAUUACAUAGAAUACCGAUUGCGAAGGCAGUCUACUGACUGUAUAUUGACGCUGAUGGACGAAAGCGUGGGGAGCGAACAGGAUUAGAAACCCUAGUAGUCC